rnacentral:rRNA from 1 species
ACGGGCGGCCUCCUUGGUGCAUAUUGGGCAAUGGGCGCAAGCCUGACCCAGCAACGCCGCGUGAAGGAUGAAGGUCUUCGGAUUGUAAACUUCUUUGAUUGGGGAAGAAUAAAUGACCUACCCAAAGAACAAGUCACGGCUAACUACGUGCCAGCAGCCGCGGUAAUACGUAGGUGACAAGCGUUAUCCGGAUUUACUGGGUGUAAAGGGCGUGUAGGCGGUUCUGUAAGUCAGAAGUGAAAUUCCCGGGCUCAACCUGGGCGUUGCUUCUGAAACUACAGAACUUGAGUACUGGAGGGGAAAGCGGAAUUCCUAGUGUAGCGGUAAAAUGCACAGAUAUUAGGAGGAACACCGGUGGCGAAGGCGGCUUUCUGGACAGUAACUGAUGCUGAGGCGCGAAAGCGUGGGGAGCAAACAGGAUUAGAUACCCUGGUA